ensembl:lncRNA
CUUAGCGUUGAGGCUCAAGUGUCAUCUGUGAAACAAAGAGAGAAGGGUGUGGGGAAAAGUCUGGUUGAAAGAUGACCAAGAUCUGGGCCUUGAGCAAGGAUGAAUUUUCCCCAACGAUGACAAUGUAGUUUCAUCCUUCAUUCAUCAGAAGAAUGUUGAGGGCCUACUGUGCUUGACAUCGGAUACAUGGAGAGACGUGUGCAGGCAUGGCUAGAAACACAAAGGCCACUUGGCUGCCGGGCUCCCACUGAACACUUCUUCACUUCCCCCACUUUGCCCGGGCCCAAGACUAAGGGUGUCACCCUCCUGUCGCCACCUUCUCGGAACCACUCACCUCCCUACAAAGAGAGGUGCUUCUUCUACUUACAGCUGCCUUUUUACUCACCUCCUGGAAUGGCUUAGCUGGGUGUUCCCAUGACAUCCAUUCAUCUCCAUCCGUCUCACCAAAGUUUAUCACAAGCCCGACUUCCUGACUUCCAUGCUCAGUCCCAGGAAUAGAACAAUAUGGGCUUCCUCCAGGGGACAAAACAACACCUAACUAUGCAGCAUGGAAGAGUGAGAGGAGCAGAUGGAUGCAAACAAUACUCAGGGAGCACCAAGAGGGUGCACGCAGAGAGGAAACGCACCUACCAGAUGAAAGGUUAGGAUUUGGCCAAAGUCAACCACCAGCAAAGGGUGGAGUCAGGAUUCCAACCAGAGACCUUGCAACAACCCUUUCUGCUGAGCUGUUGUUCUCCUGGAGUGUUCUAGUUCUCAACAUCUUCUAAGGGGACUGCCCAAGUUGUUUAUCAACUUCAACAGCUCUAACAUUUUGAAGUUCUUCCUCACAGCCAUUUGAAAUUUAUCUCCCCAUGGAUUUUAUCCAUUUGCUCUGUUACUAUAGUGGGCCAGCUGAGCAAAGCACUCCCUCCUCCCAGAAGAGAAGCUCCACAAAAAUUGAGAAUCUGUUACAUCGACCACUGUAUCCUGAGGCUGGAAGAAUGCUUCCU